GUUUGUUUUCUGGUUUUUCACAGUGAGCCCAAGCAAGGAGAUCAAGAUCGUGUCUGCAGUGAGAAGGAGCAGCAUGAGCAGCUGUGGCAGCAGCGGUUACUUCAGCAGCAGCCCAACCCUCAGCAGCAGCCCCCCAGUGCUCUGCAACCCCAAGUCAGUGUUAAAGAGACCAGUCACUUCUGAAGAACUCCUGACACCUGGGGCGCCAUAUGCAAGAAAGACUUUCACUAUUGUUGGUGAUGCAGUGGGAUGGGGCUUUGUUGUAAGAGGAAGCAAGCCAUGUCAUA